rnacentral:rRNA from 1 species
ACUCAAAUGAAUUGACGGGGGCCCGCACAAGCGGUGGAGCAUGUGGUUCAAUUCGACGCAACGCGAAGAACCUUACCGGGGUUUGAACCGCACGGGACAGCUCUAGAGAUAGAGUCUCUCUUCGGAGCCCGUGUAGAGGUGCUGCAUGGCUGUCGUCAGCUCGUGUCGUGAGAUGUUGGGUUAAGUCCCGCAACGAGCGCAACCCUUGCCUCCUGUUGCUAACAGGUAAAGCUGAGCACUCUGGAGGAACUGCCGGCGAUAAGCCGGAGGAAGGUGGGGAUGACGUCAAGUCCUCAUGGCCUUUAUGCCCCGGGCUACACACGUGCUACAAUGGCUGGUACAAAGGGUUGCAAAACCGCGAGGUGGAGCUAAUCCCAGAAAGCCAGUCCCAGUUCGGAUUGCAGUCUGCAACUCGACUGCAUGAAGUUGGAAUCGCUAGUAAUCGCGGAUCAGCACGCCGCGGUGAAUACGUUCCCGGGCCUUGUACACACCGCCCGU